UGGGGAAUAUUGCACAAUGGGCGCAAGCCUGAUGCAGCCAUGCCGCGUGUGUGAAGAAGGCCUUCGGGUUGUAAAGCACUUUCAGCGGGGAGGAAGGCGUUAAGGUUAAUAACCUUGGCGAUUGACGUUACCGACAGAAGAGGCACCGGCUAACUCCGUGCCAGCAGCCGCGGUAAUACGGAGGGUGCAAGCGUUAAUCGGAAUUACUGGGCGUAAAGCGCACGCAGGCGGUUGAUUGAGUCAGAUGUGAAAUCCCCGGGCUUAACCCGGGAAUUGCAUCUGAUACUGGUCAGCUAGAGUCUUGUAGAGGGGGGUAGAAUUCCAUGUGUAGCGGUGAAAUGCGUAGAGAUGUGGAGGAAUACCGGUGGCGAAGGCGGCCCCCUGGACAAAGACUGACGCUCAGGUGCGAAAGCGUGGGGAGCAAACAGG
rnacentral:rRNA from 1 species